AUUGAACGCUGGCGGCAGGCCUAACACAUGCAAGUCGAGCGGAUGAGAGGAGCUUGCUUCUCGAUUCAGCGGCGGACGGGUGAGUAAUGCCUAGGAAUCUGCCUGGUAGUGGGGGACAACGUUUCGAAAGGAACGCUAAUACCGCAUACGUCCUACGGGAGAAAGCAGGGGACCUUCGGGCCUUGCGCUAUCAGAUGAGCCUAGGUCGGAUUAGCUAGUUGGUGAGGUAAUGGCUCACCAAGGCGACGAUCCGUAACUGGUCUGAGAGGAUGAGCAGUCACACUGGAACUGAGACACGGUCCAGACUCCUACGGGAGGCAGCAGUGGGGAAUAUUGGACAAUGGGCGAAAGCCUGAUUCAGCCAUGCCGCGUGUGUGAAGAAGGUCUUCGGAUUGUAAAGCACUUUAAGUUGGGAGGAAGGGUUGUAGAUUAAUACUCUGCAAUUUUGACGUUACCGACAGAAUAAGCACCGGCUAACUCUGUGCCAGCCGCCGCGGUAACAC
rnacentral:rRNA from 1 species